rnacentral:sRNA from 1 species
UCGCUCUCUCUCUCUCUCUUUCUCUCUCU